AUUGAACGCUGGCGGCAUGCCUUACACAUGCAAGUCGAACGGCAGCACGGGUGCUUGCACCUGAUGGCGAGUGGCGAACGGGUGAGUACGACAUCGGAACAUGUCCUGUAGUGGGGGAUAGCCCGGCGAAAGCCGGAUUAAUACCGCAUACGAUCUCCUGAUGACAGCUGGGGACCUUCAGACCUCGCGCGCUGGGGAGGGCCGGUGGCUGAUUAGCUAGUUGGUGGGGUAAAGGCCUACCAAGGCGACGAUCAGUAGCUGGUCUGAGAGGACGACAAGCCACACUGGGACUGAAACACGGCCCAGACUCCUACGGGAGGCAGCAGUGGGGAAUUUUGGACAAUGGGCGAAAGCAUGAUCCAGCAAUGCCGCGUGUGUGAAGAAGGCCUUCGGGUUGUAAAGCACUUUUGUCCGGAAAGAAAUCCUUGGCCCUAAUACGGUCGGGGGAUGACGGUACCGGAAGAAUAAGCACCGGCUAACUACGUG
rnacentral:rRNA from 1 species